rnacentral:rRNA from 1 species
GAUGAACGCUAGCUACAGGCUUAACACAUGCAAGUCGAGGGGUAACGGGAGGGAAGCUUGCUUUCCUUGUCGGCGACCGGCGCACGGGUGAGUAACGCGUAUCCAACCUGCCCCCAACUAGGGAAUAACCUUGCGAAAGUAAGACUAAUACCCUAUAAUUUCCUCAGAUGACAUCUGACGAGGAAUAAAGAUUUAUCGGUUGUGGAUGGGGAUGCGUCUGAUUAGCUUGUUGGCGGGGUAACGGCCCACCAAGGCAACGAUCAGUAGGGGUUCUGAGAGGAAGGUCCCCCACAUUGGAACUGAGACACGGUCCAAACUCCUACGGGAGGCAGCAGUGAGGAAUAUUGGUCAAUGGGCGGAAGCCUGAACCAGCCAAGUAGCGUGCAGGAUGACGGCCCUAUGGGUUGUAAACUGCUUUUAUAUAGGAAUAAAGUUAGCCACGUGUGGUUAUUUGUAGGUACUGUAUGAAUAAGGACCGGCUAAUUCCGUGCCAGCCGCCGCCGUAA